rnacentral:rRNA from 1 species
AUUGAACGCUGGCGGCAGGCCUAACACAUGCAAGUCGAAUGGUAACAGGAAACAGCUUGCUGUUUCGCUGACGAGUGGCGGACGGGUGAGUAAUGUCUGGGAAACUGCCUGAUGGAGGGGGAUAACUACUGGAAACGGUAGCUAAUACCGCAUAACGUCGCAAGACCAAAGAGGGGGACCUUCGGGCCUCUUGCCAUCAGAUGUGCCCAGAUGGGAUUAGCUAGUAGGUGGGGUAACGGCUCACCUAGGCGACGAUCCCUAGCUGGUCUGAGAGGAUGACCAGCCACACUGGAACUGAGGCACGGUCCAGACUCCGACGGGAGGCAGCAGUGGGGAAUAUUGCACAAGGGGCGCAAGCUGGAUGCAGCCAGGCGGCGUGUAUGAAGAAGGCCUUCGGGUUGUAAAGUACUUUCAGCGGGGAGGAAGGGAGUAAAGUGAAUACCUUUGCUCAUUGACGUUACCCGCAGAAGAAGCACCGGCUAACUCCGUG